CGCCCAUUGGUCGCGCCGUAGAGCAGGCUACUCGGAUUACCACAAAUGAGCCACAAACUGUUCAAACACAGACAAAUACUAUGGUAACCAAAUUCUAACAUACAUGAAUACAGGGAGCUAUGCCUUUUCUAUAAUUAAAAGACAACUCAUUGCUGAAGGUGACAGACAAAGAAUGUAAAGGAAGCAGUGGUGUGGUGGAGGCUAUACGCAGUUUCCUGUACCGGUACCCAUCCUCCUGCAGUCCAUGCUCCUGCAGCUAUCCCCACAAGAUACAGGACCUACAGGAGCUGAUGAGGAGUUCCACUGGGCCAUAUUGUCACGUAACCCCAAAGGUAACUUGGGCAGAGAGGCAGGCCUUGUGUGCAUAAAAGUGGGGGGAAAGAGAGAGGCAAUGGUGGACAGCAUGCUCUCUGCUGAAGGUACUGUGUUGGGCCAGUGUCAGUACUGCAACAGGGAGGAUGCUGUUGUGCAGUGCAGAGAUUGACUGCCGAGGCAUCUUCUCUGUGCCGCAUGUGACAUAGCCACUCAUAGCACCAAGAUUUUGCACAACAGGGAGACUCUGUUUGACGGGUUUUAUCACCCCUUGUCCCCAACCACCGUAAUUCAACAGGAUGAUGAGGGGUCCCUUACAAGUGUUCUGAGUAAAAUAAAUAUAAUGAACACUUACCACGCUGCGCAUUGGUCCUCCGAUCCUUCCUACUACUCCUCCUUGUCAGAGGAGGAAGACGAAAACCCUUACAGAAUCACCCACCACCAAAGGACCAAGCAGCGUGGUAACGGGAAGCAGCAGCAGCAGCAGCGAUCGCAGGGCUUCUGGACAUGGGAGGAGAUUCUGGACGGCAAGGGACCCUGGGCACAGGCUGGAGAAUAUCGCCGCCCCAAGGCUGAGCUGGAGGCAGCGAGAGCGGAGAGGCGGCGGUAUGAGGAGGCAGCACGGCAGCGCGGUUGGAAGCCCGAGAGGCAGCCCCAAAAAUGUCUUGGGGAAGGGCACACGGGGAGUGUGGCGAAGUCAGGUAGGAGACCUGCGCCAACUCCCCAUGCUUACCGUGGAGAGAGAGGAACCGGACAGGCACCAUGUUAUGCCGUGAGCCGCACGGUGUCCCCGGUGCGCAGGCAUAGCCCGGUGCAAUACAUAGCAGUGCCUCGUAUCGGCCGGGCUAGAGUGGGCAUCGAGCCAGGUGCCAUGAAGCCGGCUCAGCGAAUCUGGUCUCCAGUGUGUCUCCUCGGGCCGGGGUACAUGGCACCAGCCUUACGCAUGGUGUCCCCGGUUCGCCAGCACAGCCCAAUGUGGGCUAUUCCACCACGCCUCACUGGCCUGGCUACAGGGAGCAUUCAACCAGGUAAGGUUGGGCAGGCUCGGUGCUCGAGAGCUCCAGUGCGCCUUCACGGUCUGGUCUAUCCGGUGCCACCUCCAUGCACCAGCCCUCCGGUGGCAGCCCCCCCGCACCAGGCUGUCUCUCCGUCUCCUUCCUACAGGUGCUCCCGCCUGUCCAGUGCUGCCAGAGUCUUCCUCCCCAGCGCUGUCAGAGUCUCCCGUCUGUCCUGAGCUGCCAGAGUCUCCCAUCUGUCCUGAGCUGCCAGAGUCUCCCGUCUGUCCUGAGCUGCCAGAGUCUCCCGUCUGUCCUGAGCUGCCAGAGUCUCCCGUCUGUCCUGAGCUGCCAGAGUCUCCCGUCUGUCCUGAGCUGCCAGAAUCUCUCGUCUGUCCUGAGCUGCCAGAGCCGCCAGUCAGCCAGGCGCUGCCGGAAUCGCCCUUCACUCCGGAGCUGCCGGAGUCUCCCGCCUGUCCGGUGCUGCCGGAAUCUCCCGUCCGUCCGGUGCUGACGGAAUCUCCCGUCCGUCCGGUGCUGACGGAAUCUCCCGUCCAUUUGGGACCUGUGGCUUGGGUCCCCAGUCAGAGGUCGGCAGCGAGGGUCACCGCGUUAAAGAAGCCACGGAGGCAGGUAAAGAGGCGGAGAAGGACUAUGGUGGGGUCCACGUCCCGUGCCAGAGCCGCCACCGCAGACAGACACCCGCCCAGACCCUCCCCUAUAGGUUUCGGUUUUACGGCCGCAGUCCGCACCUUUAAUAAUAAUAAUAAUCACAGUAGUUGUCGAGGUGCAACAAGUCAGCACCUCAGGAGUAAAUGUUCUCAACGCAGGCAGAACAGUUGCAGCCAGGUGGAAUGGGGGCAGCAAGGAGUCAUCAUCCAUGAGGCAUGGUCCUAGGGCUCAGGUCCUCUGAGAGAGAGAAUGUGUCGGAGGAAACACCGUGCACCCGGUGACUCCUGGCCACAGGAGUCACUAGUUCGCAAUAAGACAAGGAUAUCCCUACCUGCCUAACCCGGACAAUGCUAGGCCAAUUGUGCGUUGCCCCACAGACCUCCCGGUCACGGCCGGCUGCGACAGAGCCUGGGUGCGAACCCAGAGUCUCUGGUGGCACAGCACUGGUGGCACAGCACAGCUAGCACUGCGAUGCAGUGCCCUUAGACCACUGCACCACCCGGGUGGCCCUACACACAGCUUUUAGGAAGGAAUCUCCGGACACAUCUUUUAGUUUUGAGAUAAAUAUUCACGCAGGGCUAUUGCAAGUAGCUACACACUAUUAAUUUUUAGUUAAUAUCAAUUUUUGCCCGUUUUUAGAUUAGUAUUUUUGGGGUUUGAGUUUGAAAUUGGGAUCUUUUGCUUCGGACAAGGACAUUUCCAACAUGGAAAUGAAUAAUAUUGAAAGUAUUUCUAAAAUUAAAAUAAGUAUUUCUAAAUCUUUUUCAAUAUAGGGGUUAUUAUUAGGCAAAUUUCAUACAACCCAUUCAAAAGUGUCCAAAGCAAAGACAACCAUCUCUGACCAAAGAAGAACCCAGGAAGGUGCACGAAGAACAACAGGGCAAAAGAAAAGAAGGACAAGAACUCCUAUCCCAUCUUGCAUUGCAAUCACGCUGUCUGUGCUGCGCAACAGGAAGUACAGCUGUAGGGAAUUGGGGAACCCUGCUUUAGAAAAUAGUUGCAGGGGACUGUGAGACUGUUCUCUGCCAACAAAUAAAAAGCUUUAUGCUCAUUGUAAGUCUCCAAUCAAACAAAUCAAAGGUUUGCAAUCCAAUGCUACUCUGGUUCAACUGCCCAUAAUUCAUGAUUAUGAAAAAUAUGUGGAGAUAAAUUGUUAUUACUUAUAAUAAAUUUCAGAGUAACAUUAAAAAGCUUUCAGUGGUGGAUCCGGACCUGGGCCCAGUUUACUGCAGUUUCCAGUGAGUGCAGCUGUACACAGGGCUUGUUCGACAGUGCAGGCGACUGAGUGAUCUACAAAUCACAUUGCAUCAUAAAUAACUACUCAUUAGUAUUUUUAGAUCAGCCAGUCACCAUUUACCCACAAUGCAUCAUGGAUUUGAUGCUCUCAAACAUGGCCACAGACUCCCUCAUUGGCUGCAUAUACAAUCACAGCAGAUCUUUCACAUCGGCUCUUAUUUUGUUCGUUUGAUGUGUUGGGAUUUUUUGUGUCGGUUUAAAUUAAAUUUGCGGGAAAUGGCGGUGGAAACGGCUUUAUGCGCAAAUAUUGAUACAAUAACCAUCAUAUCGAAGUAAACUUGGAUUCACUCGUUGAUAUGGUGUGUGGUCCUCCCACUAUGAUUUGGAAAGCCAUGCAGUUUAUUACGCUACAGAUGAAAUAAAAUAAACUUUCACGAGCUUCACAUGUGAAAAUGCAUGGUGAUGAGUUUGAUGCUAAUUUCCAAUAAGUAUCCAGGGUCUUAUUAUGGUGACAUGGUGAUCAAUGCUUGACUGCCGUUUGACAAAUAAAAAUAUUAUCCAUAAUAAUCUCAUGUAGAUCUCAGCACAGCCUACAGUACCAACACUAGAGCGCACGUGACAACACCAGAGUAGGCACAGUUGUAGUAGGCACAGUUUAACGCAACAGUUUUUGUGACACAACUGUCGGUAGGCUCGAAAAUGUAAUGGAAACACAUUGAACUUUAUGGUUUUUAAUUUAGGGACAUGAAAACGUAAGCAAAAAAUUACAUUGUGUGUGUACUACGUCAUCAAGCACUGAUUUUGAUCUGCAACAAGUCUGUUUGCUGGCAACACCACUGGUGGAAAAGUGUGCAUAUUGUCUUCACGCUUUAGAGUAUGUGCAUGAAAAUCUGUCGUCAGUUGUAUUGAAACCUUGCUAGUGUCACAUUCGAUUUCACUGAGAUGUCAUCUCAAACCUUAUCUACCACCACAAACUGUGCAGCACACAUAUGAAAUUACUGUCUUGGUCAUCAUUAAUGGAAAGCCCUGUCAAAUGAGACCAAGAUAAGUAAGAAGCAUGUUUUUGCAUAAGGCUGUGGUCUAUUAUAAAUGUGUUCUCUGUGAUUUACAUGAUUGAGCAAAAUCUCCAAACAAUUAAUGAACAGUCAAUGAGAAAAACAACAUCAAUGCUUUAUUUUAGCCACUUCAAAAGAAUUAACUGCCUACAGCUGCAGUUCUUUGAAAACGUUUUUGUAAGUACGUAGCCGCAACAAGUAGAUGAAAGACAUUUUUAUUAAAAUAAUACUUGUGUAUGUAUCUAGAGAGAACAGGAAGAUACCGGAGAUACCAGACUGACAAUCGCAGCAUUAUAUCCUGUGUGGGAUGUAUUCUAGGUCAACUCAAAGGCUUCAAAAUUAUGCUAGUGUACCUUUUUUUAGUAUGGACUAAAGUCUAAUUCCUAAGCAGUCAGGCAUUCAUUAUACAGUACAUGCAAUUACAACAAGGACACAAGAGGGCGCUCUUACUAUGUGUUGGACUAGGGAUCAAGAGACUUCUGAGCUGGCUUGAUGAUUCAAAAUCGAGUUAGUUGAUAAAGUGGAAUCAUUCUCAUGUGCUUCCUUUUCCCACUGCAUUUCAUUUGAGAUUAUUAUCCUGCUGCUCUCAGAUCACCAUUCUGCGGAUAGUAAGACUAGAUUAGAAAAAGCACAAAAUAAUAGGUAGAGAUAUUUUAAUGAUAUCUUUAUCUGAAUUUAAAGACAUACAACUACAUUUGAAAAACGGACAUUUAUAUGAAUUGGAAAAUGAAUUAGCCUAGGUGGAAGGGUCUUGACUUUUGAAUUCCUAAUAAUCAUUCUCAAUCUUUUUGUAUUCUAAACUGUAAACAUAGCUGCGGGAAGUAGGGGUGCUGAGGGUGCAUUUUCAUAAAAGUAGUGCAUUGGGCCUUUACUAGUCCUGUAUUAGCAGAGCAAUAUAGACAUCUGUCGCAUGGGCAAAAACAUUUCCUUUUCCGAACAAAAGGUAGUUGUAUAGUUACGAACAGUAACUAUACAACUAUUCAAUAGCUGGAAUUCUAAGAGUUGUUUCCCUGUCUCUUUCUCUGUGAUCAUCAUUCUAAUGGGAUCCACAAAGAACAAAACCAGGUCCUCAAACAUUUACAUCAAAAGGUGCAAUGUUAUGGGCAAGACACAAAACAUCCACAUCAAAUUGAAUAUUUUUCUUGAUCAAAUAACAUAGAAAACAACCACAUUUUGUGCAGUAUUAAUUUACCAUCCUUACAAACCACUGAAUCUAAAAUGUACAUUACUGUAUAUAGGCUGGUCAUCUAGGUUUGUACCUGUAGACUUUCCAUCACCAUGAAGAAAAACAAUGACCAAUACAGUAAUUGAGUACAUUGAGACAUCAUGUGGUUUGUGACGAUGUACUGUGAUAGUAGAGCAUGGCGCUUGCAAUGCUAGGGUUGUGGGUUCAAUUCUCACAGGGGACCCGUACAAAGAAGUAUGGAAAUGUAUGCACUCACUACUGUAAGUUGCUCUGGAUAAGAGUGCAUAUUAAAAUGUAAAAGGAAUGAACAGACUAUUUCAGUUUUCACAUAGAAAAAAGUUGCAUUUGCAAAGUAUUUCAAGAAACUGGAAAACAUAUCAAGCAAGUAUUUUUAUUUUCCACAAAUAUGAUCAGAUUAACUGUUUUGUACAGAUAAUUAUCAGACUCAAGUUACUAAUGCUGUUAAAUGUAAUGUAUUGUUUUGUAUUUAUGGUAUUUGUAUGUAUAUUUUUGAUCCCAUACGACUAGUGAAAUAUAACCAACAACAAAUAUAUAGCGUAAUAAAUGUGGAAUAAAUAUGAUAUUGUUUUUUUUUUAAAUAUCAAAAGCAACAAAACAGAGAUGAUGCAAAACAAAUGUCUGUAACUCAUGAAUGAGUAAAAUGGUUUUAAAGCUGAUCUUGUUAAAAAAAAAAUGUUUUAAAGCAGCAGUAGCAUACUACCUAGAAACUAGCAUACUACCUAGAACAGGCCUGGGCAAUUCUUUUCCAUGGAGGUCCACAUUAGAAUAUAUUUUUGCCAUUGCAGGCCAGAAUCAUAUUGCAAGAUUAUACAUAAUGUGUAUGACUGUUGACAGAUAUAUCUACUGUAAAUCACGUCCAGAUAUGCUACUCGUUAUACUUUUUUAACAUGCACAGAAAUAAAACCACAUCCAUGUUCUUCUUUUGGUAGGUAUUUUCAUUAUUAAACAUGCAAUGAACUACACGGAGGGAAAAGUACACUGUGCAUUCAGCACCACAGAUAGAACUAUUGUUAACGCGUAUGCACAAAAACACAAGAAAGAGAGAGAGCUCAACAUUACAUUUAAACUACUCAA
ensembl:lncRNA